rnacentral:rRNA from 1 species
GACGAACGCUGGCGGCGUGCUUAACACAUGCAAGUCGAACGGAAAGGCCUGCUUUCCCUUGUGGAUUGCGGGUACUCGAGUGGCGAACGGGUGAGUAACACGUGAGUGAUCUGCCCCCAACUUGGGUAUAAGCCUGGGAAACUGGGUCUAAUUCCCGAUAGGACUGCAGGGUGGUGCCUGUGGUGGAAAACGAUUUUCUAGUGGUUGGGGAUGAGCUCGCGGCCUAUCAGCUUGUUGGUGGGGUAAUGGCCUACCAAGGCGGCGACGGGUAGCCGGCCUGAGAGGGUGGACGGGCACAUUGGGACUGAGAUACGGCCCAGACUCCUACGGGAGGCAGCAGUGGGGAAUAGUGCACGAUGGGCGGAAGCCUGAUGCAGCGACGCCGCGUGGGGGAUGACGGCCUUCGGGUUGUAAACUCCUUUCGACCGCGAGGAAGCCACCUGGUUGGAAGGGUGGUGACGGUAGUGGUAGAAGAAGCACCGGCUAACUACGUG